UACGUAGGGUGCGAGCGUUAAUCGGAAUUACUGGGCGUAAAGCGUGCGCAGGCGGUUUUGUAAGCCAGAUGUGAAAUCCCCGGGCUCAACCUGGGAAUGGCAUUUGGGACUGCAAGGCUCGAGUGCGGCAGAGGAGACUGGAAUUCUCGGUGUAGCAGUGAAAUGCGUAGAUAUCGAGAGGAACACCAGUGGCGAAGGCGAGUCUCUGGACAUUUCCUAACGCUGAGGCACGAAAGCCAGGGGAGCAAACGGG
rnacentral:rRNA from 1 species